ACUUAGAAGAAUACCAUCAUAUCACCCUGAACAUGCUGAUUUCAUCUCUGAUUUUGGAAGCUUAAGUAGGUUUGGGCUUGGUUAGCACUUAGAUGGAGCACCAUGAGGGGAAUACCUAAGAUUUCUACGUA
rnacentral:rRNA from 1 species